rfam:Lentisphaera araneosa HTCC2155 1101329224535, whole genome shotgun sequence.
UACCCGAUGGUGUAAUUGGUAACACAGGAGGUUUUGAUCCUCUCAUUCUUGGUUCAAGUCCAGGUCGGGUAG